GCAAGUCGAACGGUAACAGUAAUAAUUUUGGUUGUUAGCUGACGAGUGGCGCACGGGUGAGUAACGCGUACACAAUCUACCCAUUACAGGGGGAUAGCCUCGGGAAACUGAGAAUAAUACCCCAUAGUAUUACGGAAUCGCAUGAUUUUGUAAUUAAAGUUACGGCGGUAGUGGAUGAGUGUGCGUUCUAUUAGGUAGUUGGUAAGGUAACGGCUUACCAAGCCGAUGAUAGGUAGGGGGCGUGAGAGCGUGACC
rnacentral:rRNA from 1 species